AGUCCUUCCCCAUCAAGGGACUAAAACAAAACUAGGCUUGAGUGCUGUGUGGUCAGGAUGUUAAUAUUUGUUGGAUGGAAAUAUUUUUGCUUUUGUUUUCCUUCUCAGUUCUUACGGCAUGCUGAGAGUGUGAUAACAGCAUGUUAAUGGAGCCACAGCACUAAAUAUUUUGUGAACCCCCGUUUGAAGAGUUAGACCACCAUUCGUCUUCAAUAAGUGCAGAACAGUCAAGAUUUACUUCCUUGCAUGACGGGCUGGAACAAAAUGUAAUCUGGAGCAGGUCUGAGGCCAUGAAGCACCAAUAAACCCAAACCUGAAAUCAUCAAGGAGGCUUCAUGCUGGGACUAAGAGACAUGGAGACAGUAAAGCAGAAGGAGAGCGUGAACUCGCCAGUGUUGGGACAACAUUAGCUCAGGUUAUAUACAUACAUUGCUUCCUAGAGCCUGGAACACCAUUGUGCAAAACAGUGACCGGGAUUUUGGAAUGAUAUGAUUAAAUGUCAUACAUAGCUGGAAAGUCCAGGUGUCGGUAUACUUUCAGACAGACAGAGUUAUGAAUAUUUAGUUCCUACUGACAUGUUUUAGACAUAGCUGGAGCCGUCACUUUUAUAAACUCACACUGUGUACCUAGGUAUUGUUCAAGAACAAUACAUUAUUGGACACUGUAUAAUUCUGAGAUUAAUGAAGAUCAAAAGAUAUGCAACUAAUCAGGUUAAAUUUUGGUGAAACGUGUACAGUGCACCAUCCAUCCAUCCAUCCAUCCACCCACUGGGAGGCCAGCACUUGCAGCAGAGACCCCCAGGCUGAGAGUAAACUCUCCAGUGUGUCCUGGGCCUUUCUUCUCCCUACAGGACGUUCUCAAAAAACCUAAAAUCAGAGCCCUCAGGAGGUAUCCUACUCAAAUGUCCUAACCACAUCAAUUGUCUGAUUUUGAUGGGGAGGCGUAGCAGUUCUUCUCUGGCCCUCUCAAAUGAUUAAGCUCCUCAGCAUAUCUGUAAGGACGAGCACAGCCACCCUCCAGAGAAAGCUGAUUUCUGCUACUUGUAUCUGCCUGGCUUUCCUUCUGUUUCUAAGCAGGGCUCAUGGGUAUAGGUGAGGGCAGAAACUUAGAUUGAUCAGUAAUCAGUAAAAACUGCUUUGCUUUCACAUUCAGCGUCCGCAUCACUGCCGGCAUCUGUCAGUCUCCUGCUCUCCUCACUUGGGAACAAGACACAGAGAUACAUAAACUCCACAUGGGUCAGCAACUCAUCCCUGACCCAGAGUGGGCACUCUACUCUUUCCUGGUUGAAAACCAUGUCCUCAGAGUUGGAGGUGCUAAUUUCACUCCUGCUGCUCCAGAUUCAGCUGUAGACCACCCCACUGUGAGCUGGAGGUCACCGCCUGAUGAAGUGAAAUAAACCACCUCAUGUGCAAAAAGCAGACAGGUGAUCUUGACGCCACCAAAGUGGAGAUCCUCCACCACUUGGCUGUGUGUCUAUGGUUAACACAAACCACGGUCUUCUGUCAAAAAUACAUCAACAAGACAAAACUGUCCGUUGUACAUUUAAAAAAUUAGGUUGGUUUAAGUUUGUAAAGUACAGUUAUGUGCUCUUGCUGUUACCAGUGAACACAGGUGUCACCAUACAAUGAAUAUAUAAAGAGCUUUUCAUUUUGAGGUUCUGUAUCAAAUGUUAUGAUAUAUAACCAACAAAAAACAAGUUGUACAUAAACUGUAUAUAGGUUUUGGGGUUUUGUCAGUAAAGUCACUCAAGCAUACAUGUACUUUAUGAACACACACAUACACACAGUCACACCUGUUAUAGUGAA